rnacentral:rRNA from 1 species
UACGGAGGGUGCAAGCGUUAAUCGGAAUUACUGGGCGUAAAGCGCACGCAGGCGGUCUGUCAAGUCGGAUGUGAAAUCCCCGGGCUCAACCUGGGAACUGCAUUCGAAACUGGCAGGCUAGAGUCUUGUAGAGGGGGGUAGAAUUCCAGGUGUAGCGGUGAAAUGCGUAGAGAUCUGGAGGAAUACCGGUGGCGAAGGCGGCCCCCUGGACAAAGACUGACGCUCAGGUGCGAAAGCGUGGGGAGCAAACAGGAUUAGAUACCCUGGUAGUCCACGGCGUAAACGAUGUCGAUUUGGAGGUUGUGCCCUUGAGGCGUGGGUUCCGGAGCUAACGCGUUAAAUCGACCGCCUGGGGAGUACGGCCGCAAGGUUGAA